GAGGAACUCCUGAUGGCAGCUGACCCUCCUGAGGAUGGGGCUGAAGUGAACGUUGACUUUGGUUGGGACAGUGACCUCUCAUCGAUUUUGCUGCUCUUACACUUGAUCCCACCGACUGCUCUAGGUCGGAAGAGGCCAGGAAAAGUUUCUGCAUCCCGGGCUGAGAAGCAUCUUGUGACUGGAACAAGCAUCCAAGAACAUC